UGAUAUAUAAUGAUUAUAUAAUAAAUGAUUUAUAAGAAAUUACUUAAAGACGAUAAUCUUGAAAGAGAAGAUCUUAUAACAAAUUAGUGAAAUAUUAUUGAUAUAUUUCAUGUCACGUACCGUUUUGAUGUGCUUGAUGGAGCGCAGAUUUUGGUUGAAGCACAUAGUAGUGUCAUAAAAGGCUAUGAAAUUUUGGCGGCUGGAAAGAUGAGAAGACGACGUUGCGGUGUUCGCAGCGAUAUUUUAGCAUUAAAGACACCCUGUUCUGCAUACUAAAAUCCUGUGCACCAUCCAAAUAUACGUGCAACGUUAUAUGCAUGAAACCAUCGUGUGUCGUGUUUCGCGUGUGUAUUUAAGCACACUACUAGAGCGCAUGCGCAAGCUUCUAUCAUCCUUUUUCCACCGGUUACCAACAUCCUACGGUCUUUACCACCUAGCUUCGUAUUUAUAGUUUAUGUACAGGUAUAUGUGUCGUGCUAGAUAGUCUUACGUGAACUUUAAUAUUGCUUUAUACUUAUUCUCAUAUUGGAUACGAAAAAGAAGAAAAUCAUAGUAGAAUUGAAAAUAAGAAAUCUGUUAAAAUUUAUAGAAAUGGAGGAAUAAAUGUUGGAACAUCGUAACAUAAUCAGGAUGAGAGGAAACAAAUUUAAUAAGGCUAAUAAAGAUAAAUAUAUAAAUGCAAAAUGGUCGAAGGUAGAAGAUUUAUUGUUGUGCGACUGCAUCGCUACUGUACAGAGAACUGCAUUAAGGCGGUAGGAACUAUCAGAGAGGUUCUCUCUAGUUGCAACAUCGUCGGGAAACUACACCGAACAACUGUCUCGGCGUAACCGAACUCGAAUACAUCACCGUCGUAGUUUCAACCCGAAGCUUCCGGUACUUACCGAAAACUUAUCAGACAACGGAAGUGUCGUUGACUCAUAACCAUCGACUUAUUACCUCUUUAUUGCUUAAUUUUCAAAUAAAUAAUAAUGAUAUUAUUAUUAUUAUUUUUCUUUGCAUUAGGAAAGAUUGGAUUAAACUGGCGAACUGGUCAUCUUUCUUUUCUCUUUGUUAAUACAUAUUAUAAUAAUUUUUUCUUAUGUUUGUAAUUUACAAGGUGUUGAUU